rnacentral:rRNA from 1 species
GCUCAGGGUGAACGCUGGCGGCGUGCCUAACACAUGCAAGUCGAGCGGUGCGGCUGGAAGCUUUGGCGGAAGGCUGCAUAGCGGCGGACGGGUGCGUAACACGUAGGAACGUGCCCCCUGGAGGCGGAUAGCCGUGGGAAACUGCGGGUAAACCGCCGUAGACUCGGGAGAGUAAAGGCCGAAAGGCGCCAGGGGAGCGGCCUGCGGCCCAUCAGGUAGUUGGUAGGGUAACGGCCUACCAAGCCGACGACGGGUAGCCGGUCUGAGAGGAUGGCCGGCCACAAGGGCACUGAGACACGGGCCCUACUCCUACGGGAGGCAGCAGUGGGGGAUUUUGGACAAUGGGCGAAAGCCUGAUCCAGCGACGCCGCGUGGAGGACGAAGCCCUUCGGGGUGUAAACUCCUUUUCUCAGGGAAAAAAGCUGAUGGUACCUGAGGAAUAAGCCCCGGCUAACUACGUGCCAGCAGCCGCGGUAAUACGUAGGGGGCGAGCGUUACCCGGAAUUACUGGGCGUAAAGGGUGCGUAGGCGGCCGUGUGUGUCUGGCGUUAAAAUCCACGGCUCAACUGUGGGUAUGCGCUGGAAACUGCACGGCUUGGGUGCAGCAGAGGCAGACGGAACUGCUGGUGUAGGGGUGAAAUCCGUAGAUAUCAGCAGGAACGCCGGUGGAGAAGUCGGUCUGCUGGGCUGUAACCGACGCUGAGGCACGAAAGCUAGGGGAGCAAACCGGAUUAGAUACCCGGGUAGUCCUAUCCGUAAACGAUGCUCACUUGGUGUGGGGGCGAAGGUCUCCGUGCUGAAGCUAACGCGUUAAGUGAGCCGCCUGGGGAGUAUGCCCGCAAGGGUG